rnacentral:rRNA from 1 species
UUUGAAUGUAAAUUUUGGCUUGGGUAGUAGUAGUUAUGUUCUUGAAACCCAAAGAAUUUGGCGGUACUUUAGUCCUUUCAGAGGAACCUGUCCCGUAAUCGAUAGUCCACGAGAAGGAACUACUUGUUUUUGUUUUCAGUUUGUAUACCUCCGUCAUCAGAGAAUCUUUUUAGAGUUAAUAAUUUUCUUGAGAUAGUAAAUGUAGGAUGUCAGGUCAAGGUGCAGCUUAUAAGCAAGUGGAGAUGGGUUACAAUAAUAAUAUUUAGACGGAAUAGAUGAUUUAUUGUUCUAUGAAGGUGGAUUUGAUAGUAAUAUUAAUUUUUUAUUAGUAUGAUUGUAGGCUCUAAAGUAUGU